UACGAAGUCGGUGAGCAUUUGCCUAUGCCCAAACCUCAUGUGAUUUGUGUAUAGGUGGGCACAAAAGGGAAGCCUCGAGCGCGUCCAGUUCAAGGCGUAUGAUCGACGUGUUGAUUCCGUACUGUAAUUAUACGAGAUCCAUGUUAAUCGUGGCGACCCUGCGAACCGUCUAGCAGCCGAUCGAUGGAAAGGGGGAGCAAUGCGCACGAGACGGCAGCGGCCGCGGAGCCGGUCGCCGGCCUUCGAAAGGUCGUCUGGAUCCGGCAGAUGCUCCGACGCUGGCAUUCCACCGGGGUCGACACGGCCGCGAGAAGAUCCGAUGCCAGCGGCGAGCUCGACGCCGCGGCUCAUCAUCGCGCCGAGGUCGACACAACCACAGACGACAAGAAACCGUCGCUUGGGGAGACGGAGCCGUCGACGCCGGGUGCACCCGUGGACGUCCCGCGGGGGUGCUGCGCGGUAUACGUGGGCGCGGAGCGUCGGCGGUUCGUGGUGCCGACGGCGUACCUGGGGAUGCCGGUGUUCCGGCGGCUGCUGGAGAAGGCGGAGGAGGAGUUCGAGUUCAACUACGCCGGCGGCGCGGUGACCAUCCCCUGCGACACGGAGGCGUUCAAGUAUAUCCUCGUCGUCAUGGACAAACACCAGAAGGGCCUCGUCGUCAUGGACAAACACCAGAAGGGCCUCGUCGUCGUCGACCACGAAGGGAACCCAAGGGAGGCAGCUACUGAGUGAAUGAAUGAUUCGUAGAAGAAUCGACACUGAAAUUCCGAUAUGAUAGAAGGUGACCGGAGGUACAUCCAUACUUAGAGUUUUCAGGACGAGAUCUUUUGGGCGUUACGGAGUACUGUCUGGUCGUGAGAUCGCGAUACUUUUCUGUUGCGUCCAGACACAUAUUCGACAGGAAAUGGUCAGAACUGCCAUCCUCAUCCCUGGCUCUCUCAAGCGAUCCCCUCUUGGCGAUGCGUCCGCACCACUGCUACUGCCGCCCCCGCUGAUGCCGGCCAUCCUCGGCGCAGCCGAUCUCUAGAGAGGCUCCGCCUCAAACUCCUCCUCCUCCGGUUCUCCUACUUCUCGAUGUUGCCCUGCACCUACUUGUGCCCCCACGGCGAACCCUAGCCCCUGCUUGACGACCGUGCGCUCCCGCAUGUGCAACGGCGUAGGCACCCUGCCAAGGCCAAGCACACGUCGUCGCCUACCACGAGGUCCGACUGGAGCACGCACUCGGAUGCCUGUGGCUUCGCCAGAGCAAGAUAUCCAGAGUAUUACAUUUGGUCAUACAAAGAAUGCACAUUUAUUUAUCGGAUUCUUGGUGUUCAAUCGUGAUGCUUGUUGUUGCAUCCUGACUAAGGUGUCAAAGAGAAAUCGAGCCAAAUUCGCGCUUAUAUUUGUUUUCUCACUUUUAUUUAAAAUUUGAGACUAAAUUUAAAAUAGAAAUAACAAAAUGAACUAUAUGUUAGAUUUUGGCAGGAUCCACCUUCCCAACAUGCUCGAUAAGAAACAAUGGUAAUGGCGUAGUGUUUAAUGGUUGGUGCACGUGACCAUGUCUAGUAAACAAGACAUUUCGAGACAUGACACUAAGCCACGCUGGCUCCCGAUUGUUCUUCACGCGUUCUCGCUAAGAAAAACAAGAACUGUGAUCGAGGGUAUUAGUUUGGAUGCCCUCUUUUGUCCCAUAUCCAGCUGAGGUGAUGCUGGAGGAGGCACAUUGGCUAGCUGUCGCACGAGAGUGUCUCGCCGAACAGUUCCGCAUGAGAGGCCUUGGAAACUCCAUCGCUAGUGACCGACGCUCAAAAGCAUGGCCACGAGGUGAUUUCGCCGAUCUCAUCGUCCUCAUCACCAACGAUCAAGUGUCUAAAUCCUCCUCCUGGAAAUCUAGAUAUUCCAACAACCUAUCAAUCUUCAGGAUCUUUGAUUGUUAUGUCGACACUGCCAUUUCCAACGAGGCAUCCAGAGGCUUAGUUGUCAGCAAUGUUGCCGAUGGUGUUGGUGUAGGCACUAUCGUAACAGUAAAAAGCCGAAAACCCUAUCGCCAAGAGACCGGAGCAGACGGAGGGUAGAAACCCUCCAGUGCUCUAACGGAUGUAAGGUGUCCGAUGGAGUUCGAUCCAGGAUCGGAGAUAGACUUCUGGCCAGACACAUCGCCAGGAAGGACAAGAAACCCUAGAUGUUGCCACGGGGAAGUUAUGGUUUGCUAACACACAAAUGCUUAUCACAUGGUCUUGUUGUACUAUAAUAGAGCUGGUCGAUAUUUAUGAUGAAACUCAAUGCAAAAAUAUCUCAUGAAAUCAGUUUCUAGCUACCAUGAGAUACUACUCGCGUACAUUAUUAACUAUUUGAAACAUCACAUACAUAUAUGACAGUAGACCAACCAUGUAUAUUCUAUCUCUCCAUAGUCGAGGAAAGUCACCAGCUUUCGCUCGAUUACCAAGUGUAAGCGAAUAGACAACGGAAAGCUUCGGAACACAUGAUCCAUUUUCCAUGUUUAAAUUGACUACGAUCUACAUCGCUUUGUUAUAUCGCAUGGCCACACACUUCCUGUCCACAAUCAUGAUUCAAAAGAUGUCGCAUGCUAAGAGCAGAUAGUGUUGCCACGAUAGUAGGAGCAGGAGACAUCUGGAAAUGGACACUUGGUACCAAAGAAAACUCAAGAUAAGGAAGAGGAACAGUGAGCGCAGCAAGGCGGAGCCAGAGACAGUACAAGUCCGGUUCUAGCCAGUACUAGCUUAGUGUUGCUAGUCACCCGUUGCUAGUCACCUCGGUUUUUCAUAUUUCUAGCACUGGAAUUUAGCACAUGCACAUUGAGGUUCAGCUGCAGGGCCGGUGCUACCGCACCGGUAGCACCAGGCUGGCUCCGCCUCAGGCGGCAACAAUAGGGUCGAUGAUGAGCAGGAGUCUAGGUUGGAGCCGCAUACGACGGGAGUACCCGUGGACGUGCCGAACGGGUGUUGCGCAGUGUUCAUAGGUACGCAGAAGCAGUGGUUGGUACCGUCGAUGAGGAGUUCCAGCGGCUGAAGGAGACAUCACACUAGGAGUUGAGAGCUACAUGUGCAUCCUUCAAGUGCCUUUUUAUAUCGCCGUAUACAGAAACCUUCAGGUUCUCGCCGUUAGCAUUCCGUUCCACACAGGUCGGCCAGGAGCGUGCCUAGUUGUGUACAUGCGCAACCCGCCUGACGCGUAGCCAUACGUCCUCUUAGUCCAGACAAGGCCAGCGGCCACGAAGUUGAAAUCUGGCAAUUUUUUGCAGGAGGGUGGUAUGGUAUGAUGGAGCUGUAGGAAUUUGUGGCUUACAUAUUUUAAUAUUCACUACAUUGUUAUACUCCUACAAUUAGAACCUCGGUGUGGAAUAUUUAUGGAAAGAACAGGGAAUAUUUGAAGUUCAAGGAUAAUAUGAUGGGCAUUUUGUACAUAGGCAGUACUCUGAAUGCAGAACAUGGAUUUUCAUCCUUCAAUGCUAAAGACAUAUGCAAAAAGGUUAGGGAGUACAAUCAAUCGAAGUUCACACAACAAAAUAUGAUUGAAAAGAGUAUCCAGCAAUCUAACCAUUUUUCUCAUGAAGCUUCCAAGAGUAGAGGUUUGAAGACGUCACAUGAUCUACAAUUUGUUUGAUAAAUUACUUCGCUUGCUUAUUACUCUCCCGGUUUCGACCACUAAUGCGGAGCAUACAUUCUCUAGCUUGAAAAAUGUAAAGAAAAGAUUGCACAACAAAAUGGAAGAUAGUUAUCUUGCAAAUAGCUUGCUGCUACAAGUAGAACAAGAAAUUGAUACACAAUAUAGCUAUGAAGAUAUAAUGGUGAACUUCAAGACU